ACAUUUAAGGACACGGUAAUAAUCUGGUCGCUAAAAUUAUACAUUCAGAGACUAAAAUUUUUCCUCGUCCCUAAUUUACAUUUUUUUGCAAAGACUUCUAAAUCUGGUUGCUAAAACAUACGCAUCUCGUCCCUAAUCAGUCACCAAUAAAUAAAAAAUAAAAAAUAAGCUAAUUAAAUCCCUCUCCCCCACCCGAACCCCUACCCCUACCCCCAUAACAAAAGAUAAAGAAAUGAAAUAUCUCGUUAUUUGUAGAAUCCCUAAAAAUUGACUCUUCAAAUUUCUUAUGGGGCACAAAUUUCUUGUCUUUAUCAGCAGCAAUUUCAUCCUCUCCGGCAGACAACACAUCCUCAAGUUUCGUUCGUUAUUUUUUCUUUAUCUUACUCUGUCUGAUCAUUUUAGAACUGCUUUCCAAUUAUUUCAUUGACAGACCAUGUGGUUAGGGUUAAAUUUCAUAUCUGUAUCAGAUGUCAUUUGAGUUUAAUUUUGUGCGUCCUAAUUUGUGUUUUGUCCAUUCCUUCGAUAUUAGGGAUUGCUCCCGUAUUGUGAUUGAUUAUUGGUUGUGGAUUUCUUAUAUAAUCUUAGAUUAGUCACUUAAACAAGCGUGUAAAACACAUAGAUUUCCAUUUCUAAGCAUCAUUACAUGGGCUUUCUUCGAGUGCAAUAUGGUGUAUAAAUCUAAUGAUUACCGUAGUAGACUUAUAGUACUUUAAUAGGUGUAUAACACUAGUCUACUAUUUAACUAUUUGUAGAUUGCUUGAAAUUUGGGGACCUUUGUUGGGGUCGGAAGUGGGAGCCAUGAGAUUCUCUACGUUUGGAUAAGACGUUUAGGUUGUUUUAGUUGCUUCUAUAGUUACUUUAUAUCUGAAUAGUAACUUGUCAUAGUUUUGCUUAUAAAUGUCUUUCAGUUAUGAUUUUGUUUUGUGUUUUAAACAUUUAAUUAAAGCACCUUAUGAUAUAUUGAAUACAUUUGCACUUAUUUGUAUGGUGUUGAUUUAUAUUCCCUGAAAGGCUCACCAUAAUUGAUUUAAUUAUAGUAAGUUAUGUGUAUUUGAAUGGUAAUCGAUAUUUUUGGUAGAAUUUCUUUUUCAAAAGGAGAUAAAAUUGAAAAAAUAACAAGGUAUAGAUAAUUGCUGAAUGUAUAAUAGAUAAUGAUUAGCCCUUUCCUCAAUGUCUAUGUUUCAGUUGUACCUUUUAACACAACUUUCCCAAGGUCAUCAGUUUUAGCUAUUAUUGGAUAUUUACCUGCUUGUCAUAACUUAUGAGAAAAAGAAUUAACUAAGAGUUGAUUAAACUAUUCUAAGCAAAAACAAGAGCUUCUGUUAAACCCUAUAUGUUGCAACUAGGUUAUACCUAUGAUCUUACAGAUGAAUUAUCUUUUCAUUUUUUCGUUAUAAUUGUAAAUUAAACAAAGAUCAUUAGUAUAGACAGUAAGAAUUGUUGAUGGGAAAAUAUAAAGUUUGGGAUUUAUUUUAUGCUAUACUUGCAUCUUAUUCUGUCUCAUUGUAUUCUACAAUAUUUCUAAACGUUUUGAGGCAAGCACCCACUACAGAGUGAGUUACUCUGGAACCUUUUACCUCACUAAACUUUACUUAUUUAUCGAGCUAAUUAUUGAGCAACUUGAAAUAACUAUAAAUUACUAUUUGGCCCAUUAAGAAAGAAAAACAAGAUAGGAUGGCAUAGGAGGAAAAUCGACAGCUCGAUGGAGAGCUUGCCCGGCCGCCACAGAGGACUUGGGGUACUUCGAAAUAUUUCAAAUUUUUUUUGAAGAUGCAACAUAAUUUAAUAAUCUCAAGUUAAUUAUUAUCAGGAAUCAACUAGAAAAUACAAGCAUAUAGAGGUAAAUACUACUUGAAAGUUGAGCAGAUGCAAUAUUCACAUGCAGCGAUUGGUGCAGACAUGGUUACUUAGUUAUCAAACUUUCAUGUGUGUCUUUGAUCAAACACCUACAAAGAAAACUAUUUCUCGAUCAGAUCAUCCAUGUGGUGCCUCUCAACAGCUCCACAAAUUAAUUGUAGCCCAUUCGUCUUGCUAGCUGUUUUUACGGGAAACAUUCAAGUCAAUAGGUUUUGAGGGAUCUGUUAUCUCAUUUGCCAAAAGCAAUUGCUAAGUAUAUUGUUUAUCAAGUGGAGUAUGGAGCUCAUUGCAUUCAGAUAUUUGAUUCAAGGGUUGGGCAACUCCUACCUCAUAUGUGGUACUGCUGGUCAAAGCCUUAUAUUGAUGAGGCUAGAGUGGAGGUCAACAGUGAAAGUCUACUAGAUUUCCAAUUUUGUUACGUUGAAGUAUCCCUGAAGGUCUAAGUUGUUCUGAUAUAUGAUAUAUACAUAAUUUUAUAUAUGUAUCAUAUAGGAAGAGUAACGUCACAUCUGAUAUAUGAUACAUAUAUAAAAUUAUGAGUCCUUAUAGUAUUUAGUGGAUUAGGCAUGGAAAUAAAAUGUAUAGAUUACGAUCACAAGUGUUGCAUAUCGUGAAUGACGUUUAGAUUAAAGGAGGAUUCUUUGGGUGCUUUAAUAGUUGGUGUGUGGAAAUGUCAUUCCUUUCUUAAUUAUUAUGUAAACUUUCUCUCGUUCUAUUUUCUUUUUGAACACCUCUCAUAUUUUAAAAUGCAGAUAGUUAGUAUAAUCAAAAGAAAGUGCCCACAAACACAUCUUGUCCUCUACAUUAAUGGAAAUAGUGGACUUUUUGAAAGGAUAAAAACAACUGGAGUUGAUGUAAUUCGACUUAACUAGAAAAUGGAUAUGGUAAAUGGAAGGAAGUGAUUGGGAACCGAUAUCGGUAUACAAGGGAAUAUGCAUCCCGCUACCUUAUUUUGUCCUCUUCCUACACUGAUAGAUGAAAUUAAAAGGUUUAUUGCACAACUAUACCUUAAAUAUGCCUGCUGUGAGUUGUUGUGAGGGGCAGAGUUAUUGGUAAUGAUUUAUACAGCUGGCUGUACUAUGGUUGUUGUGAUUACCUAUUGGUUUCAGAUCCAUAUGAAGAUGAAUUCUCACCUAGUUAUUACCAUAGAAAUGAUUUGGCUCUGGUUAUUGAGAUGAUGAUGUCAUCAGAAAAUGUUUAUGAAACUGUGUUAAAGUGCGAUUAUGAAGCUUUCGGAUACAAAUUAUAUGACUGCAGGUUCAAAAUGUGAUUUGGAUAGCCAACUGAAAACUAUGUCCUCAAAUUUUUUGAUAUUGAUUAUGUCACAUCAUGAAGAGAAGGUAAAUGAAAGAAAGCAAUCGAAAAAACUCUCAGCAUGUUCUGAUGAUGUCGGAUAUGGCAAAUCAAAGAUAGUUUACCCAUCAAUGAAAUAGGAAAUAUGUUGCCAGAAUCUGAAGGAUCAGCUGAAAUAUUUCAGGUUGUUGUAGACAAUUAAAAUUACAAGAGGGGUGGAACUUUUGAAGAUUCUAAUCUUACAGAAAAAAUUAUGGAGACUAGAAGACCUCUUAAGAAAAGUAAAGGCAAUGAAUCUAUGGACUUGGGGUCGUCAACAAUGAGCAAAAAAGGAAUCAUGUUGGAAUAGCAGAGUGUAGAAAGUUCUAUGAACUAUUGUAGCUAGGAAUGUUGAUUUGGAUUGCGUAGACAGUGCCAUAACUUUUAUGUAAUGACUACAUGGAAAUUGAGAUGUAAAUACAUAAUUAGUUUUUAAUAUAUACAGAAGUUAUCUUUA